CUUUUGUAACGUUUUUAGUUACACCAAAUUACGGGGGAACAAAGUGGAACACGAUGUUGAGAUUUGGCGUAACGUUAGUGUUAACGUACAUUUUAUUUUUAUAUUUUCAAACUGUCGUCGGAAUUUGGAGAUUUUUUUAGAGUACGAAGGAUCCUCUUUUUUGGAGUGGCAAUAUUCUGAUGGUUGUCAUGUGACUAAUAAGAGUUCACCUCAUGCUGUUAUGUGGUGUAAAUCCCCUGGAUUUCAAGCUGUAAAGCCA